rnacentral:rRNA from 1 species
CACGUAGGGGGCGAGCGUUGUCCGGAAUUACUGGGCGUAAAGGGCGCGCAGGCUGUUAUGCGAGUCUGCUGUGAAAUGUACCGGCUCAACCGGUGCCUUGCGGCGGAUACUGCAUAGCUGGAGUACUGGAGAGGGAAGUGGAAUUCCCGGUGUAGCGGUGAAAUGCGUAGAUAUCUGGAGGAACACCGGUGGCGAAGGCGGCUUUCUGGCCAGUUACUGACGCUCAUGCGCGAAAGCUGGGGUAGCGAACCGGAUUAGAUA